AUUGAACGCUGGCGGCAUGCCUUACACAUGCAAGUCGAACGGCAGCACGGGUGCUUGCACCUGGUGGCGAGUGGCGAACGGGUGAGUAAUACAUCGGAACAUGUCCUGUAGUGGGGGAUAGCCCGGCGAAAGCCGGAUUAAUACCGCAUACGAUCUACGGAUGAAAGCGGGGGACCUUCGGGCCUCGCGCUAUAGGGUUGGCCGAUAGCUGAUUAGCUAGUUGGUGGGGUAAAGGCCUACCAAGGCGACGAUCAGUAGCUGGUCUGAGAGGACGACCAGCCACACUGGGACUGAGACACGGCCCAGACUCCUACGGGAGGCAGCAGUGGGGAAUUUUGGACAAUGGGCGAAAGCCUGAUCCAGCAGUGCCGCGUGUGUGAAGAAGGCCUUCGGGUUGUAAAGCACUUUUGUCCGGAAAGAAAUCCUUGGCUCUAAUACAGUCGGGGGAUGACGGUACCGGAAGAAUAAGCACCGGCUAACUACGUG
rnacentral:rRNA from 1 species